rnacentral:rRNA from 1 species
CAUGCCAAUGGCACUGCCCGGUAGCUAAAUGCGGAAGAGAUAAGUGCUGAAAGCAUCUAAGCACGAAACUUGCCCCGAGAUGAGUUCUCCCUGACCCUUUAAGGGUCCUGAAGGAACGUUGAAGACGACGACGUUGAUAGGCCGGGUGUGUAAGCGCAGCGAUGCGUUGAGCUAACCGGUACUAAUGAACCGUGAGGCUUAACCUU